CAAAAAGACCCUAUGAAGCUUUACUGUAGCUUGAUAUUGGCUCCGGGCUUUGUUUGCGCAGGAUAGGUGGGAGGCGUUGAAGAUUUUCUUGCGGGAAUUUCGGAGCCGUUGGUGAGAUACCACUCUAACAAUGCUAGGAUUCUAACCCUACACCGUUAUCCGGUUAGGGGACAGUUUCAGGUGGUCAGUUUGACUGGGGCGGUCGCCUCCCAAAAGGUAACGGAGGCGUGCAAAGGUUUCCUCAGGCUGGUCGGAAAUCAGUCGUAGAGUGUAAAGGCAUAAGGAAGCUUGAUUGUGAGACCUACAAGUCGAACAAAGACGAAAGUCGGCCUUAGUGAUCCGACGGUUCCGAGUGGAAGGGCCGUCGCUCAACGGAUAAAAGUUACUCUAGGGAUAACAGGCUGA
rnacentral:rRNA from 1 species